AAGUGGGAUGUGAAAGCCCUGGGCUCAACCUGGGAACUGCAUCCCAAACUGUCAGGCUAGAGUAUGGUAGAGGGGGGGCGGAAUUCCCGGUGUAGCGGUGAAAUGCGUAGAGAUCGGGAGGAACAUCAGUGGCGAAGGCGGCCCCCUGGACUGAUACUGACGCUGAGGUGCGAAAGCGUGGGGAUCAAACAGGAUUAGAUACCCUGGUAGUCCACGCUGUAAACGAUGAGAACUGGCCGUCGGGCCCUUCGGGGUUUGGUGGCGUAGCUAACGCGCUAAGUUCUCCGCCUGGGGAGUACGGCCGCAAGGCUAAAACUCAAAUGAAUUGACGGGGGCCCGCACAAGCGGUGGAGCAUGUGGUUUAAUUCGAUGCAACGCGAAGAACCUUACCUGCCCUUGACAUCCUCGGAACUUGUCAGAGAUGACUUGGUGCCUUCGGAACCGAGAGACAGGUGCUGCAUGGCU
rnacentral:rRNA from 1 species